CAUGCAAGUCGAACGGGAUCCGGACUUCGGUUCGGUGAGAGUGGCGGACGGGUGAGUAACGCGUGGGAACCUGCCCAGUGGUGGGGGAUAACUGCGGGAAACUGCAGCUAAUACCGCAUGAGCCCGAGAGGGGAAAGAUUUAUCGCCAUUGGAGGGGCCCGCGUUCGAUUAGGUAGUUGGUGAGGUAAUGGCUCACCAAGCCGACGAUCGAUAGCUGGUCUGAGAGGACGACCAGUCACACCGGAACUGAGACACGGUCCGGACUCCUACGGGAGGCAGCAGUGGGGAAUAUUGGACAAUGGGGGCAACCCUGAUCCAGCGACGCCGCGUGGGUGAAGAAGGCCUGCGGGUUGUAGAGCCCUUUCGGUGGGGAAGAAAAGUCUCGACCUAACACGUCGGGACCUUGACGUAACCCACUAAAGAAGCACCGGCUAACUCUGUGCCAGCAGCCGCGGUAAUACAGAGGGUGCGAGCGUUAAUCGGAAUUACUGGGCGUAAAGCGCGCGUAGGCGGCUUUGUAAGUCGGUUGUGAAUCCCCGGGCUCAACCUGGGAACUGCAUCCGAGACUGCAUAGCUAGAGUAUGGGAGAGGGAAGUGGAAUUUCAGGUGUAGCGGUGAAAUGCGUAGAUAUCUGAAGGAACAUCAGUGGCGAAAGCGACUUCCUGGACCAAUACUGACGCUCA
rnacentral:rRNA from 1 species